UACGGAGGGUGCGAGCGUUGUCCGGAAUCAUUGGGCGUAAAGGGCGCGUAGGUGGCGGCUUAAGCGUGCGGUGAAAGCUCGGGGCUCAACCCCGAGUCGGCCGUGCGAACUGAGUCGCUUGAGCACUGUAGAGGCAGGCGGAAUUCCGGGUGUAGCGGUGGAAUGCGUAGAGAUCCGGAAGAACACCGGUGGCGAAGGCGGCGAUCUGGGUCGAUACUGACGCUGAGGUGCGAAAGCGUGGGGAGCAAACAGGG
rnacentral:rRNA from 1 species